CAGUAAACCUCUUUCUACGAGGAAGAAUACCUUUUCCAAAAACGUUUUUUUGGAAAAAGGCAUGUAAGGAUGUGGAAGAGGGACUUGUGUCGAAAAAAGAGGCCACCAGGAAAUUACACGGGUGCCCUGCUGGCCAUUCCAUUCAAACUCAUCACAAUACUAUAGUUCCUGUCUCCUAGCAGCUCUUAAAGACGUAGGCACCCGGGACAAGGCUUGUGGCAGGAAGCCAGCCCUGGGAGCUGUAUCUCACCGCACAGCUCACACUGCUACGCUCCUUGGCACCAUGGCCUAGCCUCAAGCCACCCGAGAACCCACUGGCCCUCAGAGGGAGCAUGCCCAGGGUUCCCAGGACCCUACCAAGGGCACAAAAAGGUGUGUGCCAUUGUGGUCUGGAGCGGACAUGGCCCUCCUUGAUGUAUGGGGUGAGGAGGAGACCCUCCAGGUUCUCCGCUCCAGACGGCGCAAAGCCAACAUCCACGGCUGGAUGGAUAAAGCCCUGGCAGUGAGGGGCCAACACCCCAGGAGCCUUGAGCAGGUCAGGAGCAAGGUCAAGGAGCUGCGGCAGGGCUACACCAGGGCCAGGGAGCACAGCUCUCACUCCAGGGCAGAAAGACACUGCUGUCCCUACUUCAACAAGCUGCACCGCAUCCUGGGGCCUGGGGCAGUCCCUUCCUCAUCCCUGGUUGUGGGCUCAGGGCUGGAGAUGCCCAUUGUCACCUGCCCGGGGGUCCUAACUGACGAGGAGGAGGAGGAUGCUGAGUUGGAGGAGGAGGAGGAAGACACAGCCAGCGCUGUCACCCUCAGCCUGGAGCCAGUACCCCAGGGCCUGGAUUUCUCCCAGGCAUCCUCUGAGGCUGGGGAGAAAUCAUCAGCUCCGGAGAUGUAAACUUCUAAUAACUCUGCUGCCUGAGAAUUUCAACUCAAACUUGAGUUCUGGCUGAGACAAUGCUUUGGUGCUGUUGUGAAACUGUGUGUUUCUGGACUUUGAGCAGCACUUGAUUUGAAGAUAGGACAAGACGAAACUAGCUUAAUGUGUAGGAAGGGAUUUUAAAGGGCACUUUUCAUUCCAUAGUGUCAUUUACAUGCCCAAUGUAGUAAGUAUUAACAGUGGCUAAUGCACCCACCAUUGAAACAAUGGUCACAUACUGAAAAGGAACCAGACACACACCCCAGGAGAAUGAGGUCAGGAAGAAUGUCAUCUGAUCCUGCUGUGGAAUUUGCUUAAGACAUUGGAGUUAAUACUUCAUCUGGAAAUCUGCCAACUGAUCAGGUUUAGAGCUCGACAAAAUAUUUUAAUAAACAAUGUAGUCAAGAAAUAAAUCCUUCUCCUGUUUGUGAAACAUCCAUCCACAAAUUGUUUCUCCUUCUUUUGUUAAAGUUAUUUCACAAAUGUUUUCUGCCAACGUAUUCCAGUUUAUCAAUUACUUGCAAACUACCCAUCAUGCAUAUUGCUAACAGCAUUCACUCUUUGAAAUUCUUGAUCUGUAGUUGGUCAUGGU